CCUUGUGGAGGAGGAUGCCGAAGGUGGGGCUAAUGACUGGGGUGAAGUCGUAACAAGGUAGCCGUACCGGAAGGUGCGGCUGGAUCACCUCCUAACAGGGAGACAACAAAAUGUUUAAUAUUAUUAUUUUGUCACCUUAGGUCGAUCGGUAUCUCACGUUUUUAAUUUAUUAAGAAUUUCAUUUCCUAAGUUUUUCUAGGUCACACCCAUUAUUUUUCCUGGGCCAUUAGCUCAGGUGGUUAGAGCGCACCCCUGAUAAGGGUGAGGUCCCUGGUUCAAGUCCAGGAUGGCCCAUAUCUCUAUGUUGGGGGUAUAGCUCAGUUGGUAGAGCGCCUGCUUUGCAAGCAGGAUGUCAGCGGUUCGAGUCCGCUUACCUCCACUGAUUACCACCUCUUCCAUAACCGGUAGAAAGGAAAUGUUUUGAGUUGUGAUCAAAUUCUGAAAGAAUCUAGCUUCCUAAUGAAUUCAUUAAGAUGCUGGACUCAUUGAAUUAAUUUCAUUGUUUUCAGAGAACCUUGACAACUGCAUAGAUUAUUUUUAAAGACAAUAAGCAUCUUUAAUGAUGCAGAUUUAUUAUUUGUGCGAAUGCAUUAAUAACAAUUCUAUUAAGCUGAUGCUUCAAUUUUUGAAGUUAUUGGUCAAGCUACAAAGGGCUCACGGAGGAUACCUAGGCACACAGAGGC
rnacentral:misc_RNA from 1 species